CUUACCUGGGGAGGUCUCCCGGUGUCGUGAACACAGGGAGAAGUCAGCAGAGGCCAUAGUAGGUAGAGGUAACGAGCCGGGAAGCACCCGGAGGUCUCACAACCUGCUGAAGGGC
rfam:Pontibacter korlensis strain X14-1T, complete genome.